UGAAAUGGAUGAUGAGAACAUAAGAUUGAAACAGUUAUCCCUGUCUGAUACAUUGUGCUGAUUAAUUGUGAUCUGACACGUUC